AGUGAGCAGUAGGGUAUUUAUAGCCUCGCUCGUCCCCAUCUGCACGGCUCCUACACCUCGCCAACAGGCAAUAGGGCAACACAAGCUCACCCCUCCAGCAACACCACACUAACGUCCGUAACACAAACAGACAUCUGGACAUCAGCGGCUCUCAAAGGGGAGAGAAGAAACGAUCGGGCAGCAAAAAGAGAAAAAUGGCUGAGAGAGAACAAGAAAAAAAGAGAACUAUGCUUCAUCAGACUCAAAACCAUGAGUACAACACAAUAAAAAUGAACUAUCAAGCAAACUGACCAUGCCUGGAAAAGUUGUUCAUAUGGAGACAGACUGUUACUGUCACGAUCACCAGCGAUGCAGCUUACGAACUACAAAUCUUCAAGCAAAAGAACUACAAGAUCCAGUCAUGCACCACUGGCCUAGAUCCUGCCUCGUUGUAAACACUCACAGCUGAAGCCGCUCAUGAAUUGAUUACAUGGACUGUAGAGAGAGCACUCACACACACAUCUGUGCUGAGUCUUGUAAAACUGUAUUGUGAACAUUACGACGUGUUUCCCUUGCCUUGUCUUGCCAUGUACCGAUCGUUGCUUUGCUUUGCUUUGUAUUGUUUGUUUGUUUGUUUACAUUGUCUGCUGCCUCCCUUUUGACCAUCUAGCUGUUCACUGACCACGACUCUGGAUUUGCCUGUAUACAUCUGUUCGCCCCUGUGUUGAUUGUUGCUUGCCUGGCCAUCCUCUUAAUAAACCUGUGUUUGGAUCCGCA